GUAUGAAGUGAAGCUAUCAACUAGAAAUUGAAAGCAUCUUAUUACAGAAAAUCCUAUAGCUUGGUGAUUUGAAUGUUCAGCUGGCAGGAAAUGUGAAUCAAGCCUUCUGACCCAGCAAGCAGCACUGAAUCCAGUUCUAUCUAAGAUAAUUUUUCAGAGCUGUCAGGCAGAGUACAACUGCAGCAGUCCAAACCCACAAAGGACCACAAGCUAAAACUGGCUCUCACAUCAUAUGGUUUAGGCAUUUGGCUGCAGGUUGCCCUUUCUUUCCCCCUGUGAGCAACUGAAAUCAACAGAAAGAUUUACAGAGGUAUGAUUUUCCAGUCUGGACUAUUGUACUUAUGUAGUUAGUUCUCAUUCUUCUAACAACAUUGAGUGGCCUCCAUGUAAUAUUAAUGGCAUAAAUAAUUUCCUAAUUAUUCAGAUAGAUAGGUGAACUAUUGGAAAAGAUAAAUACUUAUUGAAGUAUGUCAACUACAUUCUUGAAGGUUGAAGUAACAUCUGGAGAAAAACCACAGAAAAUAUUACUAAAGAAAGCCAAACUAGUUUUGUAUGUUUAACAGUUCAGUAGUAAGCAAUGAAAAAAGAAAAAGCAAGUUCAGUUUUUCUAUCCUCUUACAUUAUGACUUUUAUAGCCAAAACCAACUGAAUGGAUUUAUUGUUCUUACCAUGAAAGGUUUCUGAGAACCAUUAGAUACAUUUUUGUAGCCUAAUCUAUAAGAAGAUAUUCAUAAAAUGGUCUGGAUAACUAUGUCUGUGAAUGCUCAUAUAUGCACAUAGAUUUACUUAAGCAACUCUACUUCAGUCACAGGAGUUACCUGUCAAAAUAUUAUUCAUAAAAUAAAAAGUUCCAAGAUUUAAUCUUGUAAGUUUGGAAAUAUGUUCUCUUGAAAACCAGAGCAGUUCUGAAAGUACUUUGUAUGUACUUCAAAAUACUCUAAAUGGUUUACUUUUAGCUAUCUCCAUGAAAUUUUAUGUUUCCAGUUUCUGGAGAACACCUGUAAGUGUUCUGCAUGUGAUCAUUGCGAUGUGGGAUAGGGGUAAAGAAAUUCAUUUUCUAUUUUCUAUUUUUUUGUUUGUUUAUUUGUAAAUCUUUUUUCUUCUAGUAAUUUACUGGAGAUGUGUUUCACCUUGUUCUAAUUUGAUGGGGACACAUGUACUUUUGCAUAUCAAAUUGAAGGAUGGAGAUGCUCAUCCCUACUGCAUAAAUUCAAUCAAAAAUUCUUCUAGUACAGAUGCUCCAGAAAUGCUAACAAACAUCAUUUAAAUGUUUAAUUAAAAUUCCCUUCCUCUUUAAUUUCAACUUUACAUCUCUUGAUUAUUCUUUGUCUUUUCAUCAAGAUUCUGCUUGACAGAUACAAUUUCUUAAUGUGAAGUGAAAAAUAAACAGAAAUACUGGAAAAUGAAGUUUUUUCCCCCAGAUCAUUCCAAGCUAUACAUGAAACAGAAAUAUUUACAAAAAUCCAAUUAAUCCUUAUUAGGCAACCCUUUGAAAACAUUUAUUUUAUUAAUGUAUUAUUUAUAAUCCAGCUAUGGUAUUUACAAUACUGCAUGUGCAGACACGAGCACGUUAUUUGGAAUGAAUAAGAACAGGUGUUUCUUUCAUUAGCUUUGGUUCUUCUUAAUGCCAUUGUCCUUUUACUUAAGAGGCUAUCUCAAGCAUUCACCAAUUCCAGUUGAUGUUUUUACUGAAAUAAACAUAUAGUAAGAGGUGAAAAGAAAGUAUCAUCCUUUAGUUAUUCUGUAUAGUUACAUCUUUACCAAGAUUGAUAUAUUUUGACAGAAGAAAUAGAUUUUUUCUUUUUUUUUUUUUUUUCUUUUUUCCUUUCUGAUUUAGUCUGCUAUAUAUAAAUAAUUAAAAGCAUUUUUAACCUUUCCUUCAUUUCUCCUGGCUACAAAAAGGUGCAAAGCCAUGAAGAUCCAAAAGCAACAGUUUGUCUGAGCAAGUAUAUGUGGUUUAGGAUGGGCUUUUGCAAGUAUCUAUGCCCUGGUCCCCAUGGGUUUGCCUACACUGGUAAGUUGGACAACACAUAGAAAUGCAUGUCUAUGAAGACAUCACCAGUGCAGUUUUGUUCCAAGUCACCUGAAAUAUUGCCCUGCAUUUUCUCAGGACUCUGAGCACAGUUGGAUUAUCCCCAUGCUUGCAUCCAGACUAUUCUAGUGGAUGAAGUCCAAUAAAUGUCACUGGACAUUCUCUUUCAGUCAGGGACCAUGCUGCAUGUACUCCUGGCCACGGGAACUGAAUAGCACAGAUGGAUCCUUAGCAUAUGGGUGCAGUUAGAUUGGGAAUGUUAGACUGAGGAAGAAAUCAGGCCAACUAUAAGAGUGAGAAAAGUUCCUUAUCUGCCACCCGUGACACAAGCCAGAAAGCUGACCACCUCAAGGGUGAGUAUAGCUAUGGCUGAUCCUCUUUCAUCCCUCCAGGGAAUCCUACUGCCUUUUCUUGUCUGACAUGCCUGGAUAUCAGAGCAGACAGCAUGGGGAAUAAACAGGAAGAGUUAGAGAUCUAUGUGCAGUUGCAGGGCUAUGAUCUCAUUGCGAUCCUGGAGACAUGGUCGGACAGUUUGCAUGACUUCAGUGUUGUCAUGGAUGUCUGUAUACUUUGUAGGGAAGACAGACCAGCUAGACAGGGUUGUGGGGUUGCUUUUUUAUAUGAGAGAACACCUGGAAUGUAUUGAGCUCCACAGAAAAAUGAUGAAAGAGUGGAUAGACUGUGGGUGAGAAUAUGCUAGCAGGCCAGUACGGGUGACACUCUUACAGAUGUUUGAUACAGGCUGCCUGAUCAGGAUGAGAAAGUUGAUGAGGCCUUCUGCAGAUAGCUGACUGUAGCCCCAUAAUCAAAGGCACAAGCAAGAAGGAGGAGUCAUGAAACUACAAGCCAGGAAACCUCAUCUUCACCCCUGGGAAAAUGAUGAAGCAGCUUGUUCUGAAUUUCAUCUCUUAAGUAACUGGAAGAAAAGCAGGUUACCAAUGUUUCUGAAUUUUCCUUAAGCUUUUUGAUCAGUGCAGUUGGAAUGUAGAGGUACAUCAGAAAAAGAAAAGAAAAAGAAAAGCAGCACAGGAAAGUGAGGUGUGUUGUGUAUGAAUAUAUCUUGCUUGGAUUCUGUAAAAAGGCUUGCAAGGAUGUAGUUACCUCAGUGAAUCCUGAGGUAGAUAGCAGAAAAGACUAAUUUUUUUUCAUGUGUUUUUUUCAUUAGCAGUAUGCAAGUACACAGCUGCACAUCCAUCCCUUAGGAAAUCACCCAGAGUCAAUCAGAGCAAAUGAGAAACCUCUAAAAAGAACUUCUUUAAACUUCUUUAUUUGGAAUGAUUUUUGUUGUUUUGUUUUGUUUUGUUUUCGAUUUUUGUUCACCUCACAGCAAAAGAAGUCAUUAUGCCUUUGGACAAACUUGGGAAAGAGCAGCACUUGACUUUUACUUGCAUUGAGGACUGCAUUAAGUAUUUUCUUCUCUCUGCAACAAGGAAGACACUUUUUCACAUAAAUAUAAACCAAGCUCAAAAGGCUGUUUGCCAGCUUUGCACACACAGUCUCACUUUCAGGCUGACUGUGUUCAGGCGUACCACAUUUCCAUCUCCCAUUCUUCUUGAUCUUCAAAGAUCUCAGCUCCUUGCUAUUGAAAAAGAAGGAAGUCUGCUUGCUUCAGGACUUUCUCUUCAAAGGGAUUGAUUUCUUUCAGAUCCAUCAAUGUGCUUAAUAUUGGAAUCCUUAACUAAAGUGAAUGAGUGUGAAGCACUUAUCAGUUAAGUUAAAAAUGUUAAGUCAGACACUAACAUUUCUCCUAAAAUCUAGAUGGGGAAAUACGAAGUACUGAAAGAGAAUGUAAAAUAGUACUGGGAAUAAAAAUUUUGCUUGCAUAAAUUUAAUCAAACACCAAAGAGUCAUAAAUAGUUUUUAAAGUGUUAUGUUUCUAAAAGGAUAUAAAAUAUAAUGGACAGUCC